rnacentral:misc_RNA from 1 species
CCUGGCCAACAACAACUAUCUGUUGAAUAAGGGCACUCCUCAUAGCAGCUUCCUCAAGGUCUGAGGGCUCAACAUUUUCACCUGUAGAAAGAACUAUGGUAUCCUUAGCUCGCCCUUCAAGGACAAUAACACCUCCACAACGACGGCUUCGCCCUACUGAAUGGUGAGGAACAAUCCAACCUAUAUCACCAGUAUUUAGCCAACCAUCCUCAUCUAACACUUUUCUUGUGGCCAUUGGAUUCUUGUAGUACCCUUUCAUCAUUUGUGGCCCCCUAACUUUUACAAUCCCUUUUGAUCCAUCUGGAAG